UUCAAUAUGUCUAUAGGUGUUAGUUUAGUUACUAUUGUUCCUUCUGUUUCUUUAUCAUUUCUUAAUACCUUUUUACUAUUUUCAGUUAAAUUUAAAAACCAUAAUUUUGUUGUUCCUAUUAGUGUUUUUUCUAUAUAUUCUGGUGUAUCUAUUGCAUUUAUACUGUAACGACCUAAAAAUUUGAUGAAAUAUGUGAAAUUUGUGAUUUUAUAUGAUUUGACUGUUUUACCCCUCCC
rnacentral:lncRNA from 1 species